rnacentral:tRNA from 1 species
GCAUUGGUGGUCUAGUGGUAUGAUGUCACCUUGCCAUGGUGGCGACCCGGGUUCGAUUGCCAAUGCA